UUAGUCGCUUGGCGAUGACGUAAGACACGGAGUCUGGUUUAGAUCGGGCUUUGAGGCCCCACCCUCUCUAUGUGAAUGACAAGCACGUUACACCAAUCAGUUGCAGCUGUGACAUUGCGCCGAGGCUCUGAAGUGGGUAAUUGCAGACCACAGCUAGGCUGGAAUGCUGUGUUUGGGGUGGUCAUUAGAGUCGUGGUCUCUUUAGCGUUAUGAAGCCUACCUUGACUCCUAGGUGUUCAUUGUGAAUCUUGUUGGUGCUGGUAUCGCUGUACCUCUCAAAUAGCUUCCCCAUUUUGACUAAGAAUGAAGAACUUCUUGGACAAAGAACUUGUAAAAAUCAGAUUCAUGGUCUUUCUUUUGCCCUCAAGUGAGAGGUGAAGCCAGCUGGACUUCCUGGGUCAAGUGUGGACUUGGAGAACUCUUCUGUCUAGCUAGAGGAUUGUAAAUGCACCGAUCAGUGCUGUGUAUCUAGCUAAAGGAUUGUAAAUGCACCAAUCAGCACUCUGUAAAAACGUACCAAUCAGCUCUCUGUGUCUAGCUAAAGGAUUGUAAACACACCAAUCAGCACUAUGUAAAAUGGACCAAUCAGUGCUCUGUAAAACGGGCCAAUCAGCAGGAUGUGGGCAGGGCCAAAUAAGGGACUAAAAGCUGACCACCGGAGCCAGCAGCAGCAACCUGCUCGGGUCCCCUUCCAUGCUGUGGAAGCUUUGUUCUUUCACUCUUCACAAUAAAUCUUGCUGCUGCUCACUCUUUAGGUCCACACUACCUUUAUGCGCUGUAACACUCACUGCAAGGGUCUGCAGCUUCAUUCCUGAAGUCAGCGAGACCACGAACCCACUGGGAGGAACAAACAACUCUGGACGCGCCACCUUUAAGAGCUGUAACACACACUGUGAAGGUCUGCGGCUUCACUCCUGAAGUCAGCGAGACCACGAACCCGCUGGAAGGAAUAAACUCCGGAGACAUUGGAAGGAAGAAACUCCAGACACACCAUCUUUAAGAGCUGUAACACCACGAAGGUCUGCGGCUUUAUUCUCGAAGUCAGCAUGACCAAGAAUCCACUGGAAGGAACCAAUUCCGGACACACAAGGAGGAUAUAAUUUGGUAGAAAAUAUAGAUCUAGGCUCCAUGAAUCAAUUAGGAGGAUGAGGCUAGCCAUCAUAUCAUUCAAGUGAAUGGUGAUAGGUCACAUAGUGAAAAAAUAAGAACAACUCACGUCUGUAAUCCCAGCACUUUGGGAGGCCAAGGCAGGUGGAUCAUCUGAGGUCAGGAGUUUGAGACCAGCCUGGCCAACAUGGUGAAACCCUGUCUCUACUAAAAAUACAAAAAAAAAAUUAGCUGGGCUUGGUGGUGGGUGCCUGUAAGCCCAGCUACUCAGGAGGCUGAGGCAGGAGAAUUGCCUGAACCCGGGAGGUGGAGGUUACAGUGAGCCGAGAUCACGCCACUGUACUCUAGCCUGGGCAACAAGUGCAAAACUCCAUUUCAAAAAAAGAAAAAAAGAAAAAAUAAGGACAAAUGAAAUUACAUGAAAGAUUAGUGUUAAGUGGAAUCAGUUAAGAACAUUUUAUUGAGAAAGUGCACCAUUAGGUAGACAUGAAAUACUAGAUUUAGUUUGAUAGAAAGAAGGAAAGAGGGUGUUUCUAGUUAGAAACACAGUAACUUAGAGUCCAGAAAUGGGAAUGAACAAGGAAGAAGCAGAGAUGAGAUUUGCUCAGUUGGGCAAGGAUGAGAUUAGAAUUGAAGUGGCAUAUCAAUUCAGAUCAAGUUUUCUAUGAAUUGAAAUACGAGGCUAAAAAGUUUAGAUGUUUAGAAAAGAUUUGUUUUGGUAGGCAACACUGACAAACUCUGGAUUCAACCAAAGCCAGAAUAAAAAAGUGUUUUAAGUUGUAGGAGUUUUAUGGGGUACAUCUAAAGAAGAGAUUCCUAAGAGGCUGUGUUUUAUAACAAAUCUUGAGAAAGUUAAAAACAGGGUUCCUUUUCAACCUUACAGAACUUCAGUCUGGUUGGGGAGAUAGUGUUUAGUGUUUGAGUGAAAAUUUUCAAGUGUAAAUUUGGUCAUGGAGAGAAACUCUUUCACUUUAAAUAGUUAAGAAAAACAAAACCCUAAUUCAACUAUCCAAAAAAGUUUUGAUUAUUUUACCUGGAGAUAAGAGGUUGGUUUAACUUAUGUCAUAAUGAUAAAAAUACACGCAUAUAUCAUAAAAUAGAAAAUGUACACAUGCUACCUAAUAAAAGAGCAUGUUGCAUUUUCAAAUCAUAAAUAAAAAUUUAUUUUGUUCUAUUUAUUAAAACAUAAACCAUGGUUUCGUAGGACAAAUAUGGUCUUUAGAAGGAGACAGACCUGAGUCCAAAUCCAAGUUCUGCAACUUAGUAGAAAAGUAGAGAAGGUUAACUCAUUUUAUAUCCCAAAGCCUCAGUUUCCUACCUGUAAAAUAGGGAAAAUAAUUGUACCUGACUCAAAUGGUUGUUGUAAGGGUUAAAUAAUAAAACAUACAUAAAGUACCUAGCACAUAAUAGGCAUACUGGCAGUAAUGACAAUGAUUAUUUAUAGGCAGUUUCUAAAUAUUAUUUAGUUGAAUUAAAUUUGAGGAAAGGUUUCUUAAUGACUUUAUAUUUGUAAGGAUUAUAAACUUAAAUCCUAAUUUGCUGUCUAUUUAUUAACUAAAGUUGACUUCAUAAUUUUAUUUAUAUUUUAUUAAACAAAUAUGUAAAAAGAAGAAAUAAAGAAGAAAAUAAAGCUUAAGUCAGAUAAUACAGUGUUAUAUUUCUUAGGUAUUCGUGAGCCUUUAUUGGUUUUGUUCCAUUGGUUGAGCAUUGUAUUCAACAAAUAGGAAUGUUAAGCAUUACAUUCCUAUUUUGCAGAUGAGGAAGCUAUACAAGAUAAGUAUUGCUUAUUUACAAAGUUAGUUGAAAAAGCAGUUGUUUCAACUUUUGGCACCGGUUUGGAUUAACUACUGUCUUGAUUUCUUUUUCCCCAGUAGUUUUAUAGUACUUGCCUUUUAGGUUAAAAGUUGUGGUUUUGAGUGUGUCAAUUUUCAAAUUGUAUCCUAACAACUAUAUUUUAGUCAAUCUGAGAUUCCUAAGAACUUCAUCACUUCACAAAAUUGCAUUCCUGGUUCUUUCCUCAUAUGUGUACCACACUUUAAAUAUAGAGGAAUUGACAGUAUGAUAAUCACUAAAAUGAAAAUGAAGAAAUAAAAUAGAAAUUCUUAACAACUUAAAGGUAGUAAUCACUAAAUUUUAAUUUGAAAAUGUCCUAAGAACAACCAUAUACCAGUAUGCACAUUUUAAUGUCAUAUAUGGUAAUAGGGCCAUUAGCUUAAUGGAGUAUUAAGGUCUGAUAUUUCCUCUGAUUGGGUAGAUAUCCACAGUGUGGAAAUAAUGUUCUUAGUCUGAGCACUUAUGAAGAAAUAAAAAAUGCUAAUUAUUUUUCUGAAGUAUUUAUUUUGGUGGUUCCUCAAGAAAUGGUCCAGAGUUUCUGCUCUCCUGGAGAAUCAUUCACCCCAUUACCCUUUUGGCAUUACUGAUCUCAACUCUUGAAACGAAGAAAGAGAGAAUGUGUGAGUGUAUAGGAAAAAUGGCUUCAAGUGACAAAGUAAACGCUUUUGUGACUCAGUUGGACCAGCCUUCUGCCCCAGCGUCUUCU
rnacentral:lncRNA from 1 species